rnacentral:tRNA from 1 species
GCCCGGGUGGUGGAAUGGUAGACACCAGGGACUUAAAAUCCCUUGUUCGCAAGGACGUGCCGGUUCGACUCCGGCCCCGGGCA